AUACGGAGGGUGCAAGCGUUGUCCGGAUUUAUUGGGUUUAAAGGGUGCGUAGGUGGUUUUUUAAGUCAGUGGUGAAAGCCUACAGCUUAACUGUAGAGGUGCCAUUGAUACUGGGGAACUUGAGUAUGGACGAGGUAGGCGGAAUUUGUGGUGUAGCGGUGAAAUGCAUAGAUACCACAAGGAACACCGAUAGCGAAGGCAGCUUACUGGGCCAUAACUGACACUGAGGCACGAAAGCGUGGGGAGCGAACAGGAUUAGAUACCCUAGUAGUCC
rnacentral:rRNA from 1 species